rnacentral:rRNA from 1 species
UACAGAGGGUGCGAGCGUUGUCCGGAAUCACUGGGCGUAAAGGGCGCGUAGGCGGCUUGAUAAGUAGGGGUGAAAUCUUGCGGCUCAACUGCAAGGCUGCCUCCUAAACUGACAGGCUUGAGCACAGUAGAGGCAGGUGGAAUUCCCGGUGUAGCGGUGGAAUGCGUAGAGAUCGGGAAGAACAUCGGUGGCGAAGGCGGCCUGCUGGGCUGUUGCUGACGCUGAGGCG